rnacentral:rRNA from 1 species
UACGUAGGGGGCAAGCGUUGUCCGGAAUCAUUGGGCGUAAAGCGCGUGUAGGCGGCCUUGUAAGUCCGUUCUGAAAGCCCGGGGCUCAACCCCGGGAGGCGGAUGGAUACUGCCGGGCUAGAGUCCGGAAGAGGCGAGUAGAAUUCCUGGUGUAGCGGUGGAAUGCGCAGAGUAUCAGGAGGAAUACCCAUAGCGAAGGCAGCUCGCUGGGACGGUACUGACGCUGAGGAGCGAAAGCGUGGGGAGCGAACAGG